rnacentral:rRNA from 1 species
GAUGAACGCUGGCGGCGUGCCUAAUACAUGCAAGUCGAGCGAACAGACGAGGAGCUUGCUCCUUUGACGUUAGCGGCGGACGGGUUAGUAACACGUGGAUAACCUACCUAUAAGACUGGGAUAACUUCGUGAAACCGGAGCUAAUACCGGAUAACAUUUUGAACCGCAUGGUUCAACAGUGAAAGGCGGUCUUGCUGUCACUUAUAGAUGGAUCCGCGCCGCAUUAGCUAGUUGGUAAGGUAACGGCUUACCAAGGCAACGAUGCGUAGCCGACCUGAGAGGGUGAUCGGCCACACUGGAACUGAGACAAGGUCCAGACUCCUACGGGAGGCAGCAGUAGGGAAUCUUCCGCAAAGGGCGAAAGCCUGAAGGAGCAACGCCGCGUGAGUGAAGAAGGUCUUCGGAUCGUAAAACUCUGUUAGUAGGGAAGAACAAAUGUGUAAGUAACUAUGCACGUCUUGACGGUACCUAAUCAGAAAGCCACGGCUAACUACGUG